UUCUGUCUUAUUAUUUCCUUUAUUUUUUAUUAUGCAUUUAUUUGGUAGGAAAUCAUUUACUGAGGUGGCAACUUUUGUCCUAUGCCAGAUAACACGGGAAUCCCCGUUUAUUCUGUUUUUAUGUAGGUACGCCUUACGAUUAUGAACGGUAAUGAAUCAGUAAUAAGGUUUAUUUUCUUAAUGAUAUAACUGAUCGAGGUUCAAAACAAUGUUUGUUGUUUUGUCUACUGCCACGUUAUUCUCAUUUGGCGUUGUGGUGCAGUGUCAGUGCGUUGUGUAUUCCGUGCAUGAUGAAGAGAAAAUACGAGCGUUCGUACCGACCUGAAUGGGAGCAAGAUCCUUUGCUUUCGUCCUGGAUUUCCAGAGCAAAGGAGGAUCCUGAUGUUGCGUUUUGCAAAGCUUGCAAUUGUAAAUUAGUUACAAGAUUGUCUUCAUUAAAAGAACAUGUGUUAUCCCAAAAACAUAAGAAGCAUAUGAUUGGGUAUAGCGGCCAAUCAUCGGUGCAACAGUUUUUUAAGAAAUCUCCAAUAGAAGAGGAAGUGAAAAAAGCAGAACUUAAUAUCUGUGCUAUGUUAGUGGAACAUAAUUUACCGUUCCGAUUAAUGGAUCAUUUUAAGUGAAAUUAUCUCAAAAUGUUUUCACGAUUCGGAAAUUGCCAAGUCCUUUUCCUGCAAGAGAACUAAAGCAGCAGCGGUAACGUAUAAUGUUUUAAAGCCAGAGCUAGAAGCAGAGAUGCUUGCCGAUUUAAAAUCAUGUGAAAACAUUAAAACUCGUACACCAAUGUUUUCCUUAGUUAUAGAUGAGACCACAGAUGUAACAACCACAUCAACGCUUGCAGUUGUUACCAAAUAUUAUUCCGAAAAAGAUCUUCAGGUAAAAACAAAAUUUUUAACUUUGGUGGACUUGCAAGGAGCAUCAGCCCAAGCUUUGUUCGAUUCACUUUCCAAGGCGUUAAUCAAUGCUAACCUUAACAUUAACGAUGCAAUUGGUUUCGGAGCUGACACUACUAACGUUAUGUUUGGCGAACAAGGUGGUAUUAUUGCCAAAAUAAGAUAUGUAAAUCCCCAUUGCAUAUUCAUUAAGUGUGUAUGUCAUUCUACUGCUUUGUGUGUAUCUCACGCCAGUAAAAACUCUUUACCAAGGGCUAUUAACCAAAUAGUGCAAGAGGUUUAUGGAUAUUUUGCACAUA